CCAUUUUUAGGAGAAUAAUAUACACAAAGAGGAUUGUCGGGAAAGAGAUGGUUCUUUGGGGACGCAUACCUUUUAUUAACAACGUUUAUUGAUAGAGAUGGAGG